GCCAGCAGCCAUAUUACCCUGCAAUUCACGACUGGCAUCCUGCUUAAGCUAAGCAGGUGUGAGCCUAGUCAGUACGUUAAAGGGAGAACUCUUGGGAAAAACUAAGGUUGCUGCUGGAA
rnacentral:rRNA from 1 species